AUGGGGCCGGAGCAGAAGACGAAGAAGGCCGGGGCGCCAGCACUGGCGGGGAAGGAGGCUUUCACGGCGCUCGAGCUCGACGUGGCCGAGCAGCUCAUCCGCCUCAGCGAGAGCAGCGCGUCCUCGGGCGGGUCCUUCUCCUACCUCCGUUCCGUGGACACCCCGACGGCGCCGCCGGCUAAGGGCGCCAUAAUUCCUGGCGGUUGCGUGGACUGGGAGGAAGAUGAGGACGACGAGGUGGCCGGAAGGCAACGGAGGGUGAAGCGCUACCGCCUGAUAAGCGAGAUCUACGCCGCGACGGAGCCAAUUGGAGAGCGCAGCGGCAGCAGCCGGACGAAGGAAUAG
rnacentral:rRNA from 1 species